GCAUAUCAUAGCGAGAAGAGAAACAACAUGGAUUCCCUAGUAGCGGCGAGCGAAGCGGGAUGAGCCCAGAUUUGAAAGCUCCCUUGCGGGCGCAUUGUAAGCUGGAGACGUGCCUCGUGCGGUGCGGCUGGACGCCAAGUCUGCUGGAAAGCAGCAUCAGAGAGGGUGAGAAUCCCGUGCUUGGUCUGGCCUGGUGCCGUGUUGUGGGGUGCGCUCGACGAGUCGCGUUGUUUGGGAAUGCAGCGCAAAGAGGGGUGGUAAAGGCCAUCCAAGGCUAAAUAUGGGGGAGAGACCGAUAGCGAACAAGUACCGUGAGGGAAAGAUGAAAAGCACUUUGGAAAGAGAGUUAAAGAGUACGUGAAAUUGCCAAAAGGGAAGCGUUGGAAGUCAGUGCCGGAGCGGCGCCUCGUCUGCCCCCUCUCGGGGGGUGUACUGUGGCGGCGUGGGGCCCAUGUCGGUUGCGUGUGGGGGAGAAGGCGGCGCGGAAGGUGGCUUUCCCUCUGGGGGGAGUGUUAUAGCCGCGCUGUGGAUGCCCCGCAUGCGACCGAGGACUGCUGUUGAGUGGACAUGGGCUUAAUGGCUUUCAGCGGCCCGUCUUGAAACACGGACCAAGGAGUCUAACAUGUAUGCGAGUAUGUGGGUGGCAAACCCGGCAUGCGCAAUGAAAGUGAUGUGGGUACGAACCCUCGGGUGCAGUACCGGCCGGCCCUGCGUGUGCGCACAAGAUGGGUCUGAGCAAGAGCAUACCUGUUGGGACCCGAAAGAUGGUGAACUUUGCCUGGCUAGGAUGAAGCCAGGGGAAACCCUGGUGGAGGUCCGUCGCGGUUCUGACGUGCAAAUCGAUCGUUUGAGCUGGCAAAGGGCGAAAGACUAAUCGA
rnacentral:rRNA from 1 species